rnacentral:piRNA from 1 species
UUGUAGUUCUCAGAGUACUUAGCACCAUGC